GGAUGGGGUCGGGUAAGGGCGAGGUUUCCAGCUGAGUCUCAGGGUAUCUGGCCCCUUUCUCGGGGGCUGAAGGAGGAUGUGGAGGGGCGGUGAGCUUUCGGCGGUGAGUUCCAUUCGGGACACACCUGCAGGGCCUGCAGGGCACCCAGCUGGAGCUUCUUGGCAGGGAAGUGGGCACCAGAGAGCGGGGGAAGGGGGGAUCUGGCUGACAUCAGCACACAGAGGGUAACUGAGUCACUGAGUGAGGAGGGCUGUGGGGGUGACAGGAGAAGCAGGCAGGGGCAGAACACGGAGGGGUCCCUGAACAUUCAGGAGUCGGGCAAGGAGCGCAAGGUCCUCAUCUCCUGGAGGGUUUGGCCGUGAACAGAGAGCAACAUUUUGAUGGUCAGGUGGUCAGGAGAGGGAUGAACUUUGGUGGGGUGGGGGGCAGGGAAACUGGACUUGUAGGCUUUCUGAACAUCCCACCAAGUGGCUGUCUGUUCAGCAGACCUGUCCUCAGGGCGACUGAUGUCUGCGGGAACUGACUCAGGUGCAGUCAGACUCUGAAGGCCUCUCUGGCUGCAGUGCUGAGCACCCAUGAUAGCGGCUGGAUGACCUGAAUUAUGGGAGUGUGCCGGUAACAAACCCUUGGAAGCAGCGGGGGCAUUGGCCUCCUGCUCCCCAUUUACCCUGUGCUCUCCCCGAUCAGCCGCGUGCCAGAAGCAGAUGUCGUGUGUUUGGAUCUGUCUCACUGCUGAAUUCACCUUCUGAAUUUUUCCCAGGUAUUGCCGCUCUCAGUGUGGUAGAAAAGGUGUCCAAUGGUGUUGUGCUGGAGCCGCCCCCACCAGCUCCUGAGAGCCAAUGGUUACGUGUUGAGAGUAUGUGUAUAGUUUCAAGCUCUGUGGAAGAAGAAAGAAGACUCUAUGCCAAGUCUGAGAUAUCCAACUCAAUUCAGCGAAGACAUAUUGAAGCCUGCUGAGCAAUAGAAUGUGAUUCCAUUCUUAGGAGCCCCACUGUUCAUUCAUUCCCAAACAUUAGGUUAGGGCCCCAUCAAGAGGAAAACAUAGCAAGUCUAAUACAGGCCAAGUGGAAGGGUUGCCAGAAGAGACAUGUAAGUACAUUCUGGUGCAGGUGUGAGAACGGGAGCUGGCCCCUAAAGUGGGAAGAAUCAACCUCCUGGAAGAGGUGGCACUGGCUAAGGGCCUGGAAGCACUUUGACAGGCA
rnacentral:lncRNA from 1 species